GUGGAAGUUGCUGGCUGACUGGGCUUGCGAGGAAACCGCCUCGGAGCUGCAGCCGAAGGCCAAGGAAUCACUGAAGAUCGGCGAGGGAGGACAGGGGGUUCAUCAUGGGAAGAAGAGCUGAGAAAAGCCAUUUUAGUGGUGUUUGCAAAUAAACAGGACAUGGAACAGGCCAUGACUUCCUCAGAGAUGGCAAAUUCACUUGGGUUACCUGCCUUGAAGGACCGAAAAUGGCAGAUAUUCAAAACGUCAGCAACCAAAGGCACCGGCCUUGAUGAGGCAAUGGAAUGGUUAGUUGAAACAUUAAAAAGCAGACAGUAAUUCAGUCCAUUCUUCUCCCCUGAAAUGAAGACUACAUCACCUCUCUCCCUUUGGAAACAGUCAAGUGUACUUCACACUACUAGAUGUUAAAACUAUAUGAUUAUUGGCAUAUACUGACUGACUGCAAUAUUUGUAGUAAAUAGGGAAAAUAA
rnacentral:lncRNA from 1 species